CUACGGGAGGCUGCAGUCGAGAAUCUUUUGCAAUGGGCGAAAGCCUGACAAUGCGACGCCGCGUGAGCGGUGAAGGUCUUCGGAUUGUAAAGCUCUGUUAUGGGGGAUGAAAGUAUUUGAAUCGAAUAGGCUCAAGUAUUGACAGUACCCUAAGAGGAAGCCACGGCUAACUCCGUGCCAGCAGCCGCGGUAAUACGGAGGUGGCGAGCGUUGUUCGGAUUGAUUGGGUGUAAAGGGCAUGUAGGCGUCCUGGUAAGUCGAACGUGAAAUCCCGUAGCUCAACUACGGAAUUGCAUUCGAAACUGCCGGGAUUGAGUACGGAAGGGGAGAAUGGAAUUCCCGGUGUAAGGGUGAAAUCUGUAGAGAUCGGGAGGAACACCAGUGGCGAAGGCGGUUCUCUGGUCCGAUACUGACGCUGAAAUGCGAAAGCUAGGGGAGCAAACAGGAUUAGAUACCCGCGUAGUC
rnacentral:rRNA from 1 species